rnacentral:rRNA from 1 species
UGACAUCCAGAGAAUCCAGCGGAGACGCAGGAGUGCCUUCGGGAGCUGUGAGACAGGUGCUGCAUGGCUGUCGUCAGCUCGUGUUGUGAAAUGUUGGGUUAAGUCCCGCAACGAGCGCAACCCUUAUCCUUGUUUGCCAGCGAGUAAUGUCGGGAACUCCAGGGAGACUGCCGGUGAUAAACCGGAGGAAGGUGGGGACGACGUCAAGUCAUCAUGGCCCUUACGAGUAGGGCUACACACGUGCUACAAUGGCGCAUACAGAGGGCAGCCAACUUGCGAAAGUGAGCGAAUCCCAAAAAGUGCGUCGUAGUCCGGAUUGGAGUCUGCAACUCGACUCCAUGAAGUCGGAAUCGCUAGUAAUCG